rnacentral:lncRNA from 10 species
CAGCCCACCUCCAGGUGAUCCACUUCUUUCCCCGCUCCUCUUUUUUUCCCAUGGUUUCUGACACUUGGCCCCACCCAUCAUUUUCCAUUUAGUUGCGGGCAGUCUUCUUAUCUUCAAAAUGUUUUUCUUCACUUGCAGAGGGAAGCCUACUCCUGAAUCAAGUCGUUGGUUUUCUGUGUGUGGAGGGAACCUCUGCCAGGAGCCCAGCUGCUUUCGGACCCUUGCCACCCAGUCUCAGCUUGCAUUUCCGAGUUUCCACUACGGGAAUAGAUUCCUUGGAAGGAGCCUUGCUUCUUUUGGGCGGCUGGGGAAAAAGCUGGACCAAUAG